GCAUACUCAUCUAUAGACAUCAUCGCUCCACUGUGGACAGACAUUAAUAAUAGUGAGCAAGGAACCAUCUCUUAUCGACAAGUAACAGAUGCUCAUCUUUUGAAUCGGGCAUCAAGAGAAGUAAACAAAUAUUUUCCCAGACUAAACUUCUCUGCCUCUUGGGUUUUUAUUGCUACAUGGGAUAAAGUUCCAUACUAUGGAAACAGAGAGUCAGAAUCAACCUUCCAAGUGGUUUUAGUGUCUGGCAAAAACAUGUCAUUUACUUUCAUGCAUUAUGAUUUUAUCACUCCCACCCAAAGCGCAGAGGUAAAGUAGCAUGGAAAUGUGUCAGAAUAUUGUGUUAACCCAGUUUAUAAUCUUUAGCUGUGUCAAAUGUUUUUUGGAUUUAAUGGGAUUUUGCUUCUUUUCUUGUUUUUUUUUUCUUUCAGUCUGGGCUUGACACAAUUAAUUCUACCAAUUUCUUUUCAAUUCCUGUUUCUGACAUCGCAAAUCUGCCAUACACAAGUAAUGUCAACGUCAAGGGUAGAUGGGUAUUUCGAGUUGACAAUUCAUCUGAAAACAAUGGAUUCUGUGUCAAAACUAACCCCCAAGCUUCCUCAGAUGUUUUUUCUAGUGCUUUGGAAUGUGGAAGAACCCCAGUUACUACCAGAAGCAGGAUAAUUGGAGGUCAGAACGCUUCAGCUGGACACUGGCCCUGGCAGGCUAGUCUUCUUCUGUUAAGCAGGCACAUCUGUGGAGGUUCUCUCAUCAACAAACAGUGGGUGCUGUCUGCUGCCCACUGUGUUCAUGGGUAAACUCAUUCAACUACUUGCAGACAAAUACAUCAGCUUUCAUUGAUUCUUUGAGUAGGUUACUUUUCAACUGAGGAACUGAUUUAACCCUUUAAAGUCUACUGUAUCAUAUUUGAUAUACACAUUUCUAAGGUCUUUUAAUUAUCAACAUGAUCAAAACUUUGCAUACCGUACGGUAAAAGAUCCAAGAGAGGAGGGAGGGCGGGGGCUCUGUAGGAGGUCGCAGAGCAGGAGAAAAGCCGAGACUGAAAGAAGAUGAUGGCAGGAAGAACCAUGGUGGAGAUGACUGAGGGAGAAGUAGUAAACCAAGAGGAGCCAUGGUGGAGAGGGGCUCAACAACACCAUGUGGAUGAGCCAUGGAGACAGAGCCACAGGAAAUAGAGACCCAGUGGGACCCGAGCUGAUGGAGAGCCAGAAUGAAACUGGAAGUGUAGCUGAUGGCUUAUGCAACUGAAGUGAGAAUGGGGACCUGGAAAACUGAGAUACAUCUGAAGCAACUGAGAACAAAUGCGGAUCCAGAGGGAAAAACUAUUUUGAAUCUUCAGUUCUCCUUACCUGCAUGUCUUUGGGAGGAAACCGGAGUACCGGUAGUAAACCCACGCUGUCAACUUGACACAGGGAGAACAUGCAAACUCCACACAGAAUGGUCUCCCAUCCAUGCCAGGGCUCGAACCAGAGAUCUUCUUGCUGUGAGACAAUGGUGCUAACCACCGAGCCUCUGUGCCACUCCUGAACUCAGGCAGGUAAACGGUAACAGAGAGAACACAAAACCAAACCAGAACAUAUAAGAAUGUGCAUGUGACAAUAUUUUUGUACUGUAUAAUUNNNNNNNNNNNNAAAAUACAAUCCAACAGAGGAGGAAGGGUGGG
ensembl:lncRNA